rnacentral:rRNA from 1 species
CGUGGGAAACCUGCACUUGAGUGGGGGAUAACAGCUCUAACGGGCUGCUAAUACCGCAUGAUGCAGCGGAUCGCAUGUUCCGCUGUUAAAGGGGGCCUCUUCAUGAAAGCUUCCGCUUAAGGAUGGUCCCGCGUCCUAUUAGCUUGUUGGUGGGGUAACGGCCUACCAAGGCGACGAUGGGUAGCCGGCUUGAGAGAGUGGUCGGCCACACUGGGACUGAGAUACGGCCCAG